AACGAACGCUGGCGGCAUGCCUAACACAUGCAAGUCGAACGAGACCUUCGGGUCUAGUGGCGCACGGGUGCGUAACGCGUGGGAACCUGCCUUUAGGUUCGGAAUAACUCAGAGAAAUUUGAGCUAAUACCGGAUGAUGUCUUAGGACCAAAGAUUUAUCGCCUUUAGAUGGGCCCGCGUUGGAUUAGCUAGUUGGUGGGGUAAAGGCCUACCAAGGCGACGAUCCAUAGCUGGUCUGAGAGGAUGAUCAGCCACACUGGGACUGAGACACGGCCCAGACUCCUACGGGAGGCAGCAGUGGGGAAUAUUGGACAAUGGGCGAAAGCCUGAUCCAGCAAUGCCGCGUGAGUGAUGAAGGCCUUAGGGUUGUAAAGCUCUUUUACCCGAGAUGAUAAUGACAGUAUCGGGAGAAUAAGCUCCGGCUAACUCCGUG
rnacentral:rRNA from 1 species